UACAGAGGUCCCGAGCGUUGUUCGGAUUCACUGGGCGUAAAGGGCGCGUAGGCGGCCAGCACAAGUCAGUUGUGAAAUCUCCGGGCUUAACUCGGAAAGGUCAACUGAUACUGUGCGACUAGAGUGCGGAAGGGGCAACUGGAAUUCUUGGUGUAGCGGUGAAAUGCGUAGAUAUCAAGAGGAACACCUGCGGCGAAGGCGGGUUGCUGGGCCGACACUGACGCUGAGGCGCGAAAGCCAGGGGAGCGAACGGG
rnacentral:rRNA from 1 species